ensembl:snRNA U6 U6 spliceosomal RNA
GGGCUCACUUCAGCAGCACAGAUACUAAAACUGGAAUGAUACAGAGAUUAGCAUGGCCUCUGCACAAGCAUGACAUACAAAUCUGUGAAACGUUCCAUAUUUUA